UCCGUAGGUGGAUAAGUAAGUCAGAGGUGAAAUCCUGCAGCUCAACUGUAGAAUUGCCUUUGAUACUGGUUAUCUUGAGUCAUUAUGAAGUGGUUAGAAUGUGUAGUGUAGCGGUGAAAUGCAUAGAUAUUACACAGAAUACCGAUUGCGAAGGCAGAUCACUAAUAAUGUACUGACACUGAGGGACGAAAGCGUGGGGAGCGAACAGGAUUAGAUACCCUGGUAGUCC
rnacentral:rRNA from 1 species